CCUACGGGCGGCAGCAGUGAGGAAUAUUGGUCAAUGGACGGAAGUCUGAACCAGCCAUGCCGCGUGCAGGAAGACGGCUCUAUGAGUUGUAAACUGCUUUUGUACAAGGGUAAACCUGAAUACGUGUAUUCAGCUGAAAGUACUGUACGAAUAAGGAUCGGCCAACUCCGUGCCAGCAGCCGCGGUAAUACGGAGGAUCCAAGCGUUAUCCGGAUUUAUUGGGUUUAAAGGGUGCGUAGGCGGAUUGAUAAGUUAGAGGUGAAAUGUCCGAGCUUAACUCGGGAACUGCCUCUAAUACUGUUGAUCUAGAGAGUAGAUGCGGUAGGCGGAAUGUAUGGUGUAGCGGGGAAAUGCUUAGAGAUCAUACAGAACACCGAUUGCGAAGGCAGCUUACCAAUCUAUAUCGGACGUUGAGGCACGAAAGCGUGGGGAGCAAACAGGAUUAGAUACCCUAGUAGUC
rnacentral:rRNA from 1 species